rnacentral:tRNA from 2 species
GCCGCCGUAGCUUAGCUGGCUAGAGCGCACGGCUGUUAACCGUGCGGUCAUCGGUUCGAAUCCGAUCGGCGGCGCCA